UACGGAGGGUGCGAGCGUUAAUCGGAAUUACUGGGCGUAAAGCGUGCGUAGGUGGUUGAUUAAGUUAUCUGUGAAAUUCCUGGGCUUAACCUGGGCAGGUCAGAUGAUACUGAUUGACUCGAGUAUGGGAGAGGGUAGUGGAAUUUCCGGUGUAGCGGUGAAAUGCGUAGAGAUCGGAAGGAACACCAGUGGCGAAGGCGGCUACCUGGCCUAAUACUGACACUGAGGCACGAAAGCGUGGGGAGCAAACAGG
rnacentral:rRNA from 1 species